GCCAGGCAUGGUGGCACAUGCCUGUAAUCCUAUCAGCUUGGGAGGUUGAGGCAGGAGAAUUGCAGGGUCAAAGCCAAUUUUAACAACUUAUCCAGGCUAUAAGCAUUCUAGUGAAACCCUGUCUCAA
rnacentral:sRNA from 1 species